UACGGAGGGGGCUAGCGUUGUUCGGAAUUACUGGGCGUAAAGCGCGCGUAGGCGGCUUUGUAAGUUAGAGGUGAAAGCCCGGAGCUUAACUCCGGAACUGCCUUUAAGACUGCAUCGCUAGAAUUGUGGAGAGGUAAGUGGAAUUCCGAGUGUAGAGGUGAAAUUCGUAGAUAUUCGGAAGAACACCAGUGGCGAAGGCGACUUACUGGACACAUAUUGACGCUGAGGUGCGAAAGCGUGGGGAGCAAAC
rnacentral:rRNA from 1 species